UCUCUGUCUCUAUCUGUCUCUCUCUUUCAAGCUGAACUGAUGAUGCAAUGUCGAUCUGGUUGUUGAAAUCAAUCCUAUGAAAUUCUAUGAAUGGUUUUGAUAUUUGAAUGUUGAUGCCCUGUUGUUUGCCAUUGAACAUGUUGAUUGUUUGUUGGUUCAUACUUUGUUUCUAAAAAUAUUUCAUUUUAUGCUGGGCUGGAUUUCAUUUUGUUCUUGUGAAAUAUUUAUUCUCUAGUUGGGGCUGGAUUUUUUUUUUUUUUAAUAUUGAGAUAUGCAGUGGAAUUAGUGUUUUUAGAUAUAUUAAUAUGAAAUAUUAGCAAUUGCAAACAAAAUUUCUCAAGCAAUGAAUUAAAAUGCAAGGAUGAUGGAGUUCAUGAAUAUAUAAUAUGAAACAUGGGCCAUAAUACUCCUACAAAUGUGUUUAAGAGAAAUUGUUCUAACAAUUAGAGGCACCUUUCUAAUACUAUAAUUUAUACAGGCCUACCCUUAUCCAAAAAUAGAUUCACCCAUAGCUUGGUCAGUAGCUGUCUGGUCUCAUUCAAGAGUCUAAUCUCUUUGUGCUGCUGUAUCAAUCAAUACAUGAAUCGUGAAAUGAAUAGUGAACUGAAUCGCGAAUUAUAAGAUUCUAAUACCAGAUUCCUCCACUAUACUUUCCAGAAAUUAAUUGGCUCAAUAAAAUUGGAGCCAUUAGCAGACCUAGUGAAAUGUAAUUGAAGAAAUUUGAUGUGUCUCUGCCCAUUCUGUUUCAGCUGAGUGGAGAUGCCUCCAUCCAAUUUGCUGGAUUUGCCAUGGUUUGCCUUUUUGUUGGCCUCAUUGUUGUGGGAAGAAUUUACCUUGGGAUGCACAGUUUGAUUGAUAUCAUAGGCGGUCUUGCUUUUGGAUUGGCAAUUCUUGCAUUUUGGAUUAGUGUUCAUGAAUACAUUGCGAUUUCAUAGUUUCUGGGCAAAAUGAGACCGAGAGGAUUGAAGGCCAUGGGAAGCAGCAUGGAGAGCGAUUCAGAAUGGCAAUGAAGGAUGGAUGGGAGCUUUCCUUUGGAUUCUUAUUUCUCUUCUUUCUUCUUUUUUCCUCUGAUCUGGCUGGGGGGUUGGGUGUUUUGGUUCACUUUCUUUUUAUUUUUUGUGUUAAAUGGGGGAAGGAGUGGUGAGAGAGAGAGAGAAGAGGGUAAUAUCAUUUUGUGGCUUUGUAUACAAAGUGGUAAAUUUUUGAUUGAGAAUUGUGAAUUCAAUUUUUGGAUAUGUCAUUUUGUGGAUAAUGGUGAUUGAAUAUUAAAUUGAAUGGAAAAGUGAA